AUUGCUCUUCAGGGGCAAAAUCAUAAUUUUACCAAACCCUGAUUUGAAAGCAUCAAGUGAUAGAAUAAAAGAUUUGUGAUCCAUGGAUGAAAAUUUUAUUAUUUUUGGACGUGUAUUUUGAAAGAUAUGCAUGUUUGAAAAUCAUGAGUCGACCCAUGAGUCGACUCAUGGCACAUGAGAUGUUUGGCACGCUGAAUUCUUGGCUGGCACAAACUUGGCACACCCUGUG
rnacentral:lncRNA from 1 species